rnacentral:sRNA from 1 species
GCCAAAUCUAUCCGACCAGACGGUAGCGGUAGCCAAUGUGCGCACGGCGGUGGUGAUGUAAUAAUAUAGUAUGAACCCAGUUAAUGAACCUUUAGUUAACGGGUUUUGUCAACAAUGUGCACGGAGUUCCGCAGUUGGAAGUCUCGUCAAGUACGGAAUGCCUAAAAAUGGAGUCUGGAGGAUCGACGAGGCUGUGGGGUUUUGCCUAGCUUGGAACCCAGGGGGGGAAUGAUUACUACUGCUGCUAAUAAUAAUGGUAAAAAUAUCGAUGGAUGUCGGUGCGAUGAUUCAAGGUGGAAAUACAAGGGAUGCACAGACACAGCAGGUGAAGAGUGGAGGGAGCAUGUAUGUAUGUAUCGUAUUCAGAAAUAACCCGUGAAGGGGAGAGAUAUUCAAUUUGAAGGGAUGAGUGUCCUAGUUAGUAACUAUGUAAACGAAGCCGCGGGCCAGGAUUCAAGGAAGCAUGUGGUCAAGCAGUGAAUGCUGCCGACGAGGAGGAUUUCCGAAGGAAUUGAUUGAUGCUCAACUCUUCUUGUUCGUAGAUUAUAUUACUUGAUUGAUCCUUAUUGCCCUUCAUUUGAUUCAGGCU